GGUGCGAUCAUACCAGUACUAAUGCACGGAUCC
rnacentral:rRNA from 1 species